rnacentral:tRNA from 1 species
AUCCCUGUAGCGCAAUGGAUAGCGAGCGCUUUGGACUUCUAAUUCAAAGAUCGUGAGUUCGAAUCCCACCUGGGGUG